UACGUAGGGUGCAAGCGUUAAUCGGAAUUACUGGGCGUAAAGCGUGCGCAGGCGGUUUUGUAAGUCUGACGUGAAAUCCCCGGGCUCAACCUGGGAAUUGCGUUGGAGACUGCAAGGCUGGAGUCUGGCAGAGGGGGGGUAGAAUUCCACGUGUAGCAGUGAAAUGCGUAGAGAUGUGGAGGAACACCGAUGGCGAAGGCAGCCCCCUGGGUCAAGACUGACGCUCAUGCACGAAAGGCGUGGGGAGCAAACAGG
rnacentral:rRNA from 1 species